GACGAACGCUGGCGGCGUGCCUAAUACAUGCAAGUCGAACGAACCGCGACUAAGUGCUUGCACUAAGUCAAGGUGAGUGGCGAACGGGUGAGUAACACGUGGGUAACCUACCUCAUAGUGGGGGAUAACAGUCGGAAACGACUGCUAAUACCGCAUAGGACAUAGGAUCACAUGAUCCAGUGAGGAAAGGUGGCGCAAGCUAUCGCUAAGAGAUGGACCCUCGGUGCAUUAGCUAGUUGGUAGGGUAAAGGCCUACCAAGGCGAUGAUGCAUAGCCGACCUGAGAGGGUGAUCGGCCACAUUGGGACUGAGACACGGACCAAACUCCUACGGGAGGCAGCAGUAGGGAAUCUUCCGCAAUGGACGCAAGUCUGACGGAGCAACGCCGCGUGAGUGAAGAAGGUCUUCGGAUCGUAAAGCUCUGUUGUUAGAGAAGAACAGCGCAUAGAGUAACUGCUAUGCGUGUGACGGUAUCUAACCAGAAAGCCACGGCUAACUACGUG
rnacentral:rRNA from 1 species